rnacentral:misc_RNA from 1 species
AAGUCGUAACAAGGUUUCCGUAGGUCAAGUUUAGCCUGCCACAGCGGGUCAACCUCAGCUAGUCUCCGCUUGGAGGCGAACACGCUCAACCUGUGGGAAGGCCCUGUCCCGGGAAAUCCAACAGCCCACUUCCCUUGCCCGGAAGUCGGUUUAGAGGCUCAAUGAGUCGUGGGUGCUGAAUCUCAGCGCUUGAGAUAGAGUCCGUCCCAGCUGGUAACCGCUGGGGGCGAACGGAAACCUGCGGAAGGAUCAUUACAGAAUUGACGGCUUUUGCGAAGCCUAGAUUCUCACCCCGUGUAUACACUAUUCUCUGUUGCUUUGGCAAGGCGCCUGGCGCCUGCCAGAGGGAAAACCCUUUGAAUCUCUGCAGUCUGAGCACGAUAAAAUAGUCAAAA